UGGUUAUACCCACGUGGGUGACUGAAAGACGAACUGUUUUGCUGGUAGUUGUGGUAAUAAAAUUAAAGUUUAGAUGCGAUCACCAUAUAAGUUAAACAAUGAAAAAGCCUGGAAGGAGGAGAGAUGACUAGAAAUGAUUCGGUUGGCCGUUUUUUGUCGGAGUAGAGGUCCUUGUGCAUUUCAGGACCUUCAGUUGGAGGAUGACAUCAGAGGCUUCACCCAUCAUCCCUCACAUGACAACUCACCACAUCUCAGAAAGUCCUUCAUAACUUCCACAAGUUCUCAAGGUUCGUCAAGGCAAAGCAGAACCCUACUUGACGCCCAAAACCAGAUGGCAAAGUUAUCAUAAACCAGAAUAAAUCAUGUCACAAUACAGGUAGAAUACAUCCUGUACAGUAGGCAGUCUGUCCUCUUCUUGGCAUAGUUCAGUGUCUUACAGACUGCCUAAAGCUGGGUCAAUAUCAACUCCCUGUGGACCAGGUUUAAAUGACAAUGUAUGGUCCACGGUGUCUUCAAUGGAACCACACCACAUGGCCACAAGAGUAUAAUGGCUUCACACUUUCAGGCAAAGCAUCUCUCUCACACACACUUGAGGGCAAAGCAGCAGAUGAAUGGUGUCCAUGGUUGGAAGUAGCGCUGUAAAUGAACUAAAAUGAAUCAUUCCCUUCUACUCUCUUCUCUUGUCCAGAAUGCAUUAGAGAUGUGUGUAGAUGACCCCACCCUGUCAGCCAGACACAUGACAAUGAAUGUACUGUAGAAACAUGCCCAACCCAGCCUAAACAGUAAGGGGAUUCCCCAGUGUGUGUGUGUAGGACUCCACACAUCACAGCUGAGGUGGCAUCAGCAGCAGGUGUUAACAGCUUUAGAAGACAAGCUGCUGUAAACAGUCCAAAGCACUCAUCUUCAUAAAACACACAUUUUGGAUGUUGCCCUUUUCCCAUGCUGCUAAAUCAUAAUUGUUUUACUAUUGUAACAAAGUUUAAUCGGGAUAAAAAUGGUAUGUUAUUUUCCAGAGACUGGGAAAGUAAUCCAUGAAACCCAGAAGUUCUCUCUCCUGGUGCAGAAUGAGUUCAGAGGAAAACAAGGCUAAUGAGACAAGACACCCAUAAGGUGAGACACAGGGGCAUCUGAAAUGGCACUCUAUUGCGUAUACACACAUAGGGCUCUGGUUAAAAGUAGUGCACUAGAUCCGAAAUAGGGUGCCAUUUCGGAUGCAACCAGGAAUGCCCAGUAAAAUACUACGUCUAAAAUAAUUUGGUUUUGAAUAUACUUAAGUAUCAAAAGUAAAUGUAAUUGCUGAAAUAUACGUAUAACUCAUG